rnacentral:tRNA from 1 species
GCUGGAAUAGCUCAGCUGGUUAGAGCGUGUGGCUGUAAACCACAAGGUCGGAGGUUCAAGCCCUCCUUCUAGCG